CUGAGAUAGGGUUCUCACGAGCCCGAACCUCCAACCCUUUGUUUACAAACCACUGUUGCCUCGGCGGGCCGCCUUCGCUUCGGCGUCGCCGUCGGCCUCGUGCUCUCGAGUGCCCGCCGCAGGACCAUUUAAACUCAUUUUAUAACAAGCAUUUCUGAGUGGAUAUUUAAUGCUUACAAAA
rnacentral:misc_RNA from 1 species